rnacentral:other from 1 species
AAUACCCUGCUGUGUACGUGUAUGUCGUUAAGUUUUUGCCAACACCAACAAAAAAGGGAGCUUAAGCUCUGCAUAUUGAUUGUAUGCCCUUUAUAAGGGACACAAGAGAUAUAUGCAGGAGGGCACCCACCUGAUUAUUCAGGUUUAAACUCUGCGACUUUCACGGCUCAGUGGGGCUUUU